CCCACCAUUUGUACUAGUGGAGCUUUGUCGAUAACAUUAGGAACUUAGGUUCGCGCGUACUGAAAGGACACCGGCUUACUAUGGGAAGCUAGAAUAUUUAUCAACGCUUUGGGAUAUUUUGGCAGUUUAUACCUGGAUAGAUAAGUAUGUUGGCUAUCGUCAAGAUAGUGGUGUGUCACUGCAAGCCACCUCAAGAUGGCCAAGUUGGUGC